AGCAGCUAAAAUCCAAAACAAGCGCUCUGAAAAGGUGUCAAGAUGUAGAGGACCCUUACCACAAUGCUAGUUCAGACAGAAGAAUGGUGGCAAAGAUGGAUUUACUAUGAACUCAUGAAUCUCAAACUUCAGGGAACCUCACUUGUAUAAGCUCGUUUCAAGGCCCUGGCAGGAACCCAAGAAAUGUGUGCACAAGGUCAUAUGUGUUUGUAAAUUUGCAAAAGGGAGAAGGUAAAUCGAGGCAC